rnacentral:rRNA from 1 species
CGGCAGGCCUAAUACAUGCAAGUCGAACGGUAAGGUCCCUUCGGGGAUACACGAGUGGCGCACGGGUGCGUAACACGUAUGCAACCUACCCUCCGGAGGGGGAUAGUCGCGGGAAACUGCGAAUAAUACCCCAUGUGUUCAUUGGUUGGCAUCAACUGAUGAAGAAAGUUCCGGCGCCGGGGGAUGGGCAUGCGUCCCAUUAGCUAGUUGGUGAGGUAACGGCUCACCAAGGCGACGAUGGGUAGCUGGUCUGAGAGGAUGAUCAGCCACACGGGCACUGAGACACGGGCCCGACUCCUACGGGAGGCAGCAGUAAGGAAUCUUGGUCAAUGGGGGCAACCCUGAACCAGCCAUGCCGCGUGGAGGAAGACGGCCCUCCGGGUUGUAAACUCCUUUAGUCAGGGACUAAUUGUGGGCUAUAGGCACACUUGCAGGUACCUGAAGAAUAAGCAUCGGCUAACUCCGUGCCAGCAGCCGCGGUAAUACGGAGGAUGCAAGCGUUAUCCGGAUUCACUAGGUUUAAAGGGUGCGUAGGCGGAAGGAUAAGUCAGUGGUGAAAUCUUGCGGCUUAACCGUAAAAUUGCCAUUGAUACUGUUUUUCUUGAGUGUGGUUGAGGUAGGCGGAAUGAGUAAUGUAGCGGUGAAAUGCUUAGAUAUUACUCAGAACACCGAUUGCGUAGGCAGCUUACUAAGCCAUUACUGACGCUGAUGCACGAAAGCGUGGGUAGCAAACAGGAUUAGAUACCCUGGUAGUCCACGCAGUAAACGUUGAUUACUCGUUGUUGGCAAUACAUCGUCAGCGACUGAGCAAAAGCAUUAAGUAAUCCACCUGGGGAGUACGUCAGCAAUGAUGAAACUCAAAGGAAUUGACGGGGGCCCGCACAAGCGGAGGAACAUGUGGUUUAAUUCGAUGAUACGCGAGGAACCUUACCUGGGCUUAAAUGUUAAGUGCUAUACCGGGAGACCGGUUUUUCCUUCGGGACACUUUACAAGGUGCUGCAUGGUUGUCGUCAGCUCGUGCCGUGAGGUGUCGGGUUAAGUCCCAUAACGAGCGCAACCCCUAUUGCCAGUUGCCAGCACAUCAUGGUGGGAACUCUGGUAAAACUGCCGGUGCAAACCGCGAGGAAGGUGGGGAUGACGUCAAAUCAGCACGGCCCUUAUGUCCAGGGCUACACACGUGUUACAAUGGUCGGUACAACAGGAAGCUAUUCCGCGAGGAACCGCUAAUCCCGAAAGCCGAUCUUAGUUCGGAUCGGAGUCUGCAAUUCGACUCCGUGAAGCUGGAUUCGCUAGUAAUCGCAGAUCAGCCAUGCUGCGGUGAAUAUGUUCCCGGGCCUUGUACACACCGCCCGUCAAG